rnacentral:rRNA from 1 species
UGCGUAGGGGGCAAGCGUUGUCCGGAAUUAUUGGGCGUAAAGAGCGUGUAGGCGGUCCGGUAAGUCGGCUGUGAAAGUCCAGGGCUCAACCCUGGGAUGCCGGUCGAUACUGCCGGACUAGAGUUCGGAAGAGGCGAGUGGAAUUCCCGGUGUAGCGGUGAAAUGCGCAGAUAUCAGGAAGAACACCCGUGGCGAAGGCGGCUCUCUGGGACGGUACUGACGCUGAGACGCGAAAGCGUGGGGAGCGAACAGG